rnacentral:lncRNA from 10 species
AUCAUGGCUCACUGCAGUCUUGACCUCCUGGACUUAAGCAAUCCUCCCAUCUCAGCCUCCUGAAUGGCCGGGACUACAGAUGCACAGAGGACACUGGGAGCAGCUCUAUUGGAAGGUCUAUGUGGAACUAGAUUUUCCUCAACGAGGAAACUAGAACUUUCCUCAACGAGGAACUGAGGUCUCCAUCAACACUGUGCAGGAGUCUUCUUGGAAGUGGAUCCUCCAGCCCUGGUCAGGCCUUCAGAUGUCAGCAGCCCUCGCUGACAUCUGGACUACAACCUCAAGAGACCCUAAGCCAGGCCACCCAGUGAAGCUGCUCCCAGAUUCCUGACUCUCAGAAGCUGUGUGAGAUAAAAAAUACAAUGUUUAUUGCUUUAAGCUGUCAAAUUUUAAGGUAAUUUAUUAUGCAAUAAUAAAGAACUAAUACAGUAUUGUAAAAAAUUAAUAUCUUUUAAAUUUUAAUUUCUAAUUCUUUGUUUCUGUCAUGUAGAAAUUAUUAAAAUAUUGACCUCGAUCCUGUGUUCUUUCUAAAAUUGGCUGUUUUGCAGAUUUUAAAGGAUUUCUACAUAAGCAAUCGUGUCAUCUGUGACAAAGAUGGUUUUACUUCUUUUGAUAUCUAGAUGCCUUUUGUUUAUUUUGCUGCCUUAUUAAAGUUGUCAAGACCUUCAGUAUAAUGUUGAAUAAAAGUGGUGAG